rnacentral:lncRNA from 1 species
CAAGAGGCAUACGUCCUCUUCGUAUGGGCCAGCGGCGAAUGACAAGAAGAAGGAAACUCAGAGACCUUCAGACGCCAGUUACGCCUCCAGCUGGAGAGACGCGGAGAACGCUGACGGGAAGUCUUCCCCACCAGAGGAAGAUGGGGAACAUAGAGAACAGUGGGGGAACCCCAUCGAGUUCCUGCUGUCGUGCAUCUCCAUGUCG